ensembl:lncRNA
AAAAAAGAUAAAAAGAAAGGGACUCUGCAAAGCCUCUAUUGUGAGGACCUUUAUCUCCCGAGUUCAGCGAUGCUUUGCUUUGUCUGUUUGCAUUUAUUGAACGAUCAUUUCCCUGAGCAGCCAGGAAUUCGCCCUCAUCUACAGGCAGCCGCGACGGUCUGAGUGCUCGUGUUCUCCUGCCCACCCAAGCAAUAACCGCAAACCGCACUCAUUCCUUUCGCCUUUCUGCUCUCCGCAGCCUUUUAAACAAAGCUACGUUGCCACACGAGGAGGGGGCAAGAUGCCCCCGUGCCCGCUGCCCCCAACUAAGUGCCCGGACCCGCGGGGCGGCUGCUCAGCUGAGGGGCGUGGAGCGGUCUCCAGUGGUGUACGAGAGCCCCUGCUGGGUCCUGCCCAGUGCUGCUGCUGCUGCCGUCCUCCCGGACUGUCUGUGCGAAGGAGCGACUGUGGUCGGAGGCCUUCUGGGAGAGGUCCAGGCGGAGGCUGGGGGAGGAAGGAGGAUGUGCACGGAUUAUCCCGCUUGAACUGAGACAACUGGCAGCCAUAUGUAAGAUGGAAGCAAAUCCCUAAUGUACGUGUAAGGAAGAUGGGCCUUUCUGCCACCAUCUUACAACACAUCUGUGAGUACCUGCAGGGGAGAAGGAAGAAUACAGGCAUGCCCAUUCAAUCAAGGGAAAGGUGUAGCUGUAAAUGCAAGGCCUAUGUGUAACUGAACCCUGCUGUGUGGUGUUUGGCAUAUAGAAGUUAAAAUGUGACUGCUAGAAUUGUAG